CCCCGGAAGAUGGCGGGGGCUGCGGCGGCGUGCUCCUGACUGAAACUUUUCUGCGGGCAGAAGUGGUCCGGCGCGGUGCCCGUCCCUGAGGGCCUCCCGGGCACCCGGCCACCGCCCCACCCCUCUCCGCGCCAUGGAGCCCGAGCUGGCGGCCCAGAAGCAGCCCCAGCCGCGGAGGCGAAGCCGCCGGCUUCCGAGCUCUGCGCGGGCGGCGCCGCGGGGCCUUCGCCGGACAACCCCCGCCCGGAGCCUGCCGGCAGAUACUCCCUUUGGAGAGAUAGCUCCUUCACAUUUUUAACACCUGGCCCACAUUGGGACUUCACUUUGGUGCCAGUAGGACUGAGUGAAGGCGAUGAAUAACUGAAGAAAAGAAAACGAAGAGCGAAAGAUGAUGAUGUUGUACGCCUUAGCAGCCUUGAUCUGAAGACUGGAGCUUCUCAAGCAUAUUUUCCACACUCUCUGAAGCAACUGAGGAGAUAUCAGCAUUGGAGAGCAAGGCUGUUUUAUCAGGCUUGCUUUGAUCAACAAACACUUCAGCAGUAAC